rnacentral:rRNA from 1 species
CCCUUAGAUGUUCUGGGCCGCACGCGCGUUACACUGACUACUUCAACGAGUUGUUUCCUUGAUCGAAAGGUCUGGGUAAUCUUUGAAAGGUAGUCGUGAUGGGGAUAGAUCCGUGCAAUUUUUGAUCUUCAACGAGGAAUUCCUAGUAAACGCAAGUCAUCAGCUUGCAUUGAUUACGUCCCUGCCCUUUGUACACACCGCCCGUCGCACCUACCGAUUGAAUGGUCCGGUGAAUCUUUAGGACUGUGGCUGAGGCCUUGCCUUGUGCGGGUCUGGCCGUGGGAAUUUAGUUAAACCUUACCAUUUAGAGGAAGGUGAAGUCGUAACA